GGAUAGAGAGACCGGCGCACGGGUGCGUAACGCGUAUGCAAUCUACCUUUUACAGAGGGAUAGCCCAGAGAAAUUUGGAUUAAUACCUCAUAGCAUAGCAGCUUCGCAUGAAGCCACUAUUAAAGUCACAACGGUAAAAGAUGAGCAUGCGUCCCAUUAGCUAGUUGGUAAGGUAACGGCUUACCAAGGCUACGAUGGGUAGGGGUCCUGAGAGGGAGAUCCCCCACACUGGUACUGAGACACGGACCAGACUCCUACGGGAGGCAGCAGUGAGGAAUAUUGGACAAUGGGCGCAAGCCUGAUCCAGCCAUGCCGCGUGCAGGAUGACGGUCCUAUGGAUUGUAAACUGCUUUUAUACGAGAAGAAACACUACUUCGUGAAGUAGCUUGACGGUAUCGUAAGAAUAAGGAUCGGCUAACUCCGUGCCAGCAGCCGCGGUAAUACGGAGGAUCCAAGCGUUAUCCGGAAUCAUUGGGUUUAAAGGGUCCGUAGGCGGUUUAAUAAGUCAGUGGUGAAAGCCCAUCGCUCAACGGUGGAACGGCCAUUGAUACUGUUAAACUUGAAUUAUUAGGAAGUAACUAGAAUAUGUAGUGUAGCGGUGAAAUGCUUAGAGAUUACAUGGAAUACCAAUUGCGAAGGCAGGUUACUACUAAUUGAUUGACGCUGAUGGACGAAAGCGUGGGUAGCGAACAGGAUUAGAUACCCUGGUAGUCCACGCCGUAAACGAUGGAUACUAGCUGUU
rnacentral:rRNA from 1 species